rnacentral:rRNA from 1 species
UGGGGUAUAUUGCACAAUGGGGGAAACCCUGAUGCAGCGACGCCGCGUGAACGAAGAAGGUAUUCGUAUCGUAAAGUUCUGUCCUAUGGGAAGAUAAUGACAGUACCAUAGAAGAAAUCUCCGGCUAAAUACGUGCCAGCAGCCGCGGUAAUACGUAUGGAGCGAGCGUUGUCCGGAAUUAUUGGGCGUAAAGGUACGCAGGCGGUUUAAUAAGUCGAAUGUUAAAGAUCGGGGCUCAACCCCGUAAAGCAUUGGAAACUGAUAAACUUGAGUAGUGGAGAGGAAAGUGGAAUUCCUAGUGUAGUGGUGAAAUACGUAGAUAUUAGGAGGAAUACCAGUAGCGAAGGCGACUUUCUGGACACAAACUGACGCUGAGGUACGAAAGCGUGGGGAGCAAACAGG